rnacentral:rRNA from 1 species
AUUGAACGCUGGCGGCAUGCCUUACACAUGCAAGUCGAACGGCAGCACGGGGGGCAACCCUGGUGGCGAGUGGCGAACGGGUGAGUAAUGCAUCGGAACGUGCCCCGUAGCGGGGGAUAACCAGUCGAAAGACUGGCUAAUACCGCAUACGCUCCACGGAGGAAAGCAGGGGAUCGCAAGACCUUGCACUAUGGGAGCGGCCGAUGCCCGAUUAGCUAGUUGGUGAGGUAAAGGCUCACCAAGGCGACGAUCGGUAGCUGGUUUGAGAGAACGACCAGCCACACUGGGACUGAGACACGGCCCAGACUCCUACGGGAGGCAGCAGUGGGGAAUUUUGGACAAUGGGCGCAAGCCUGAUCCAGCCAUGCCGCGUGC